rnacentral:rRNA from 1 species
CCUGACGCAGCCACGCCGCGUGAGUGAAGAAGGUUUUCGGAUCGUAAAACUCUGUUGUCAGAGAAGAACAAGUUGGAGAGUAACUGCUCCAGCCUUGACGGUAUCUGACCAGAAAGCCACGGCUAACUACGUGCCAGCAGCCGCGGUAAUACGUAGGUGGCAAGCGUUGUCCGGAUUUAUUGGGCGUAAAGCGAGCGCAGGCGGUUCCUUAAGUCUGGUGUGAAAGCCCACGGCUCAACCGUGGAAGGUCAUUGGAAACUGGGGAACUUGAGUGCAGAAGAGGAGAGUGGAAUUCCAUGUGUAGCGGUGAAAUGCGUAGAUAUAUGGAGGAACACCAGUGGCGAAGGCGACUCUCUGGUCUGUAACUGACGCUGAGGCUCGAAAGCGUGGGGAGCAAACAGGAUUAGAUACCCUGGUAGUCCACGCCGUAAACGAUGAGUGCUAAGUGUUGGAGGGUUUCCACCCUUCAGUGCUGCAGCUAACGCAUUAAGCACUCCGCCUGGGGAGUACGGCCGCAAGGCUGAAACUCAAAGGAAUUGACGG